rnacentral:rRNA from 1 species
GACGAAGGGGGCUAGCGUUGUUCGGAAUUACUGGGCGUAAAGCGCGUGUAGGCGGUUGUUCAAGUCAGGUGUGAAAGCCUUGAGCUCAACUCAAGAAAUGCACUUGAUACUGGAUGACUAGAGGACCGGAGAGGAUAGUGGAAUUCCCAGUGUAGUGGUGAAAUACGUAGAGAUUGGGAAAAACACCAGUGGCGAAGGCGGCUAUCUGGACGGUUUCUGACGCUAAGACGCGAAAGCGUGGGGAGCAAACGGG